CCCUUAGAUGAUUUGGGCUGCACGCGCGCUACACUGACCCUAACAAUGAGCAACUGUCUGGCCUGAGAUGGCUGGGUAGCCUUUUCAACCCAUGUCAUGAUUGGGCUAGAUUUUUGUAAGUCUUGAUCUCUAACGAGGAAUCCCUAGUAUGCGUGAAUCAUCAAUCCAUGCAGAUUAUGUCCCUGCCCUUUGUACACACCGCCCGUCGCUCCUUCCGAUUGAGUGAUCCGGUGAGUAAUUCGGACUGGAGCAGUGUUCAGUUCCUGAACGUUGCAUCGGAAAGUUUAGCAAACCUUAUCACUUAGAGGAAGGAGAAGUCGUAACA
rnacentral:rRNA from 1 species